CUCUCUCUCUCUCUCUCUCUCUUGCUUUCUUUCUCUCCUUUACUCACAUGCUUCAGGGUUAAACUAAUGAUUAUUUUGCGGCAUUUAUUUUUGACACACACACACACACACACACACACACACACACAAAGAGGAAUUGCAGAUAAAUCUCUCUCUCUCUCUCUCUUUAACUCACAUGCAUCAGGUAUAAACUAAUGAUGACUCUUACCCCGAGUACAGAUUUGUUUCCUAUUUUAAGUCAAUCCAAAAUAAGCAGCUUUUUAUUUACUCAGCAUUUCUAAAACAUGCUUCAUAAUACUGCUGUUCUCAUGUUGAAAAAUGCCUUAUUAUUUUUGAUUUUUUUAUAGAGAUUAGUGAAGAGAAACUAUACAACUGAUCUUCAACUUUAGAUUACUAGUGGAGAGAAAAUUUAACACUGAUUUUCAUGAAGAUUAGUGGAGAAAAACUGUAUACCAUUAAUUUUCAUAUCAUAGGUUAGUGGAGAAAAUAUACAUCUGAUUUUCAUAAUAUAGAUCAGUCGAUAUAAACUAUGCAGUCGAUUUUCAUAUUUCAAAUUAAUGGAGGAACUAUUGUCACUUGGUUCUCUUAUUUUCCUAUAUAUAAAGUACCCGGGUAUGUGUUGGGGGUUCUUCCAAAUCUGCAUCAAUAGAGGGCAGCACUUUUACAUAUUGGUCCCUGUGUCUGGAGAAAGCGACUUAACUCUACAUACAAGGACCAAUACACACACACGAGUCUUUCCCUCCACACAGAAGCAGGUCAGAAACACCCACAACAAACGUUUGAUAUAUUCGCCACUCACAUUGUUUUGUCUACACCUGCGGGUCAAGGCAAUGAUUUGAUUUGCAUUUCAGAAAUUUAACUCCAGAAUUUACGCUGUGUUUGGAUAAAAUGUUCCCCGUUCAUACGCAAAAAAGGCCUCAAUUUGAUUUCCUUUUCAAUGUUGAUUGUUUGUGUUUUUGGUAAGUCAUGGGAUGAGUGCGUAAUGGUAUAUUUAAUGGACCAACACACACACACACACACACACACACACACACACACACACGCCUAUGCAUAUACAAUUAAGGUGAGAAUUUCAACUGUAUCAUGGUAGAGAAAAAGAGAAUAGAAAAACCACAUCAAUCUUUGGUGUUUUAACCGAGAAAAAGCACAUUCAGCGAGUCAUGGCGAAGAGCACACACACACACACACACACACACACACACACACACACACACACACACACACACACAGAGGUCAAGUCUUCAACAGCAAAACUCUACACCUUGGGUAAGACUCGUUGCAUAAGUGGAGAAUCAUGACUUGGCUUCCUAUACAUGUGAGAAGGAAGGGAAGGGGAGAGCAGGAAUGGGAAGGAGGGACUGGGGGGAAAAAAAUGGGAAGGGAAGGGAACAAAGGGAGGGGAUUGCGAAGGGAAGGAAUGAGAAGAUAGAACAGGAAGGAGGGACUGAGGGAAAAAAAUGGGAAGGGAAGGGAACAAAGGGAGGGGAUUGCAAAGGGAAGGAAUGAGAAGAUAGAACAGGAAGGAGGGACUGAGGGAAAAAAAUGGGAAGGGAAGGGAACAAAGGGAGGGGAUUGCGAAGGGAAGGAAUGAGAAGAUAGAACAGGAAGGAGGGACUGAGGGAAAAAAAUGGGAAGGGUAGUGAAAACAUGUAGAAAAAAUACAGGGGAAGGGAGAGUUGAGGUCAGGAAGGGAAGGGGAGGGGCAUGAAAAAAAAAAGGAGGGGGAUGGUAUGAACAGGAAGGAGGAACUGAAAAAAAAAAUGGGAAGGGGAAAGUACAAAAAACAGGUUGAAAAAAUGCAGGAAGGGAAGGGUUGAGGUCAGGAUGGGAAGGGCACAGAGAGAGGGACAGGUAAGAAAAAAAAGAAAAGGAGAGUUCAAUAACUAUAAUCAUGUAUUUCCUUGUAGGUUCGCAAGGGAGAGAGAGAGAGAAAGAGAAGUGGGGGGAAGGUAAAGAGAAGAGUAUUUUUAGCCAACAAGUAUAAGUAUAUUUAGAAGCUUCCAAAAAUAAAACGGAGUACUCGCUGAAAGAUUAAACCGUGAGGGAGAUGAUGAGGGGCCAAGACUAUGUGUUUGAAGGAGGUAAACAGGAAGGAUAUUUUUAGCUAAUCAGUAGAAGUAUAUUUAUAAGUCCCCGAAUGAUUAAACUACUAAGGAGAGAGGAAGAAGAGAAGAAGAGACAGGAUAUUUUUAGCUAAUCGGUAGAAGUAUAUUUAUGUCCCCGAAUGAUUAAACUACUAAGGAGAGAGGAAGAAGAGAAGAAAGUAAAGAGUACAUUUAUAAUUACCGAGAAAAAAGUCCCCGAAAGAUUAAACUGUACUAAGGAGGAUGGAAGAAGAGGAGGCAAACAGGAGGGAUAUUUUUAGCUAAUCGGUAGAAGUAUAUUUAUAAGUCACCGAGAAAUAACUCCCCGAAAGAUUAAACUGUACUAAGGAGAGAGGAAGAAGAAGAGGGAUAUUUUUAGCUAAUCGGUAGAAGGAUAUUUACAAGUUACUGAGAAAAAAGUCCCAGAAAGAUUAAACUGUACUAAGGAGGAUGGAAGAAGAGGAGGGAUAUUUUUAGCUAAUCAGUAGAAGUAUAUUUACAAGUCACUGAGAAAAAAGUCCCCGAAAGAUUAAACUGUACUAAGGAGAGAGGAAGAAGAGGAGGGAUAUUUUUAGCUAAUCAGUAGAAGUAUAUUUAUAAGUCACCGAGAAAUAACUCCCCGAAGGAUUAAACUGUACUAAAGGGAACAGAAGAAGAGAAAACAAAGAGGAAGUGUUGGGAGAAAGAUAGAAGUGGAAAGGGAGAGACAUAAGCAGAAAAGGGAGGGCAUGGCAAUGAUGCAUAACCGUCACGUCCGCAACAAUACAACUUUCUUUUUUACACUCGGUGGAUACGAGAGCGACAGCCAACGAAGGAAGGACGAGAAAGAAAAAGACGAAAGCAUUAUUACAUUAUUUACAGCUGUUUCAAUUUCUCCUUUGUUGCUUAGUUAGUGAAUCCCCCAGAACUGCAUUUAAAACACCUCCCACUGCUACUACUACUACUACUACUACUAUUACUAUGGAUGAUGUUAGUGUUGUUGUCGGCAUCAUCUACAGACGUAAUGCUCCAAAAAACAGGUAAAAGUGUCAAUCAACAAGUAUUAUAAAACCUACAAAACUACGAGGCAUUCAUCCGUUUUAUUUUUUACUUGUUCUUAGUGACAAAAAAAAAAUCAUGGUUGGUAGGGGUGUGUAUGGAUUCCUAUACACACAUACAUACAUACAUACACACACAUACGUACAUAUACACGCAUACACAUGUGACGACGAUAGUAACUUGCAUCUUUUUCAUUUUGAGCUGAACACUGCACGAAAAAAUGGAAAAAAGGAAAAGAGAAAAAAAGCAGUGAUUGAAACCCAAACAAACUAGAACCUGUGCUUUCCUAGGCCUAUUUUAGCCUUUUUUUUCAUACACGUUUUUCCUACGACGAGAAUUUGAGAGUAAGGACACUGAUGCAUUGCUCUAACCCUUUCCGUGACUAAAUACACUUCUCGGCAUAACACGUACACGACAGUUUCGGCGCUUAGUCUUAUUCUCAUGCUCAUUCUUGUUAUGCGAUUUGUCCUUUGCAUUACACAGGAGGAAAAGUUUACAUGGACACUAAAUGAGCGAGACUUUCCAAACUAAUCUAGUCACAUUUUUUCUCAACAUCACACGCAGCAAAAACUUCCCAAUGAGACUAACCAAACAAGACCUAACUUUGCAUAACAUCAAACUUUUUUCAGCGUAAUAGAUAUAUGUUCGUACCACCUUCUAUGCUUUGCUCAUCCAAUCUUUUCUCCUUCAUAUUACGUACGGCAAAAAAUUCUCAAUGAAACCCACCGCCCAAGACCUAACAUUGCAUAACAUCAAACUUUUUUUCAGUGUAAUAAACGAACUUUCCACCUCCUAAAGUUUUGCUCAUCAUGUCUUUUCUCCUUCACAUUACGUACGUCACAAAAUUACUCAUGACACUAACCGCCCAAGACCUAACUUUGCAUAACAUCAAAUUUCCUUCAGUGUAAUACGUAGAUAUAUGUUAUGUACCAACUUCUGUGCUUUUGCUGGCCAUGUCUUUUUCUACCUCACAUAACGUACGGCAAAAAGUUCCCAAUGGCACUAACCAAACAAGACCUAACAUUGCAUGACAUCAAACUUUCUUCAGCGUAACAGACACACGUAUGCAGCACUUUCUACACUUUUGCUGGCCAUGUCUUUUUCCCCUUCACAUUACGUACAGCAAAAGAUUCCUAAUGACACCAAUCACCCAAGACCUAACAUUGCAUAACAUCACUCUCUCUUCAGCAUAAUAGAUAUAUGUACGUACCACUUUCCAUGCAAUUGCUCGUCAUGUCCUCUCUUUCACAUUAUGUACGGCAAAAAGUUAUAAAGGACACACUGGCCCAGUAGUCGAUCUUCUGCACGCACUAACUUCCAACCUCUCUGAGCUAUGUACACUAUCUCUAAACUCUUUUAAUAUCAUGCCUUUUCUCCUUCACAUUUCCUACACGCAGCAAAAAGUUCCAAAAACACAAACCCAGCGUGCAUUGGUGGUGAGACCUUUCAGUUCUUUGCCUGAUGGUUUACUCUAGCAUGGCUCAUAGGGAAAGGUCAUCCAGGUAAGGAAUCCAGGUAAUCCUCAAAACCUUUCUUAGCAUAAUUCACAUAAACACAUUUUACGCUAACAUUUAUCAAUUCUGUUUUUCAUUUACAUUAUCCAUGGCAAAAAGAAUUACCGAGAACGCCAACCUAGGAACUGCAUGACUUAAAACCUUUCUUACCACAAUUCACCGACAUAUUUUAUACUACCAUUUACCAAUCCUCUUUUUCAUUUACAUUAUUCAUGGCAAAGAAAAUUAUCAAGAACGCCAACCUAGGAAUUGCAUGACUUAAAACCUUUCUUACCACAAUUCACCAACAUAUUCUACACUAUGAUUUACCAAUUCUCUUUUUCUUUUACAUUAUGCACUGAAAAGAAACUACUAAGAACACCAACCUAGCAAUCGCCAAGACUCAAAACCACAUCUUAGGAGUAACGUAUUAUAACCCAAGGGACUUUGAACACCCCAGCACGCGAUUAACCAUCAACAUCAUUAAAAUCACUGCAGACAAUCUUAAUAACAUCAUCCCAACAAUUACCUCUUUUAAUAUCUACUAUCAUCUUCGUCAUCAACAUUUGGCCUUAAAAUCACUGAAAACAAACAUUAAACUAUCCAACAUUUGCCUUUUGCCGAACUUGAAUCCAGACCCUAAGAGUAAUAUAGGAUACGCCAGCCAGUUGACUCCUAACAUACCAACGCCUGCGAGACUUAAUACAAGAUCUGACAUCAUGUAUUAUAACCCAACUGACUCGUAACACACCUAAGCACAAUGGCACGUGAAUCUCCUUUUUAGAAUGUAGGAUAAGCCAGUCAAAUCCUAACACACCAGCACUUACAAGACUUAAUACAACAUCUGACGUCUUGUAUUAUAACCCAACUGACUCGUAACACACCUGACCACAAUGGCACACAAACAUCCCUUCGAAAAUGGCACGAUCAAGACCCUGAAAUGAUUAGAACCUGAUGAACUAUGGCACUGAGGUCGUUAAUGUAAAGAAUAUUAACGAAACGAAAGCAGGUUAGUGUAUUGGCAAAGGAAGUUAUUUAAAUCUUUCCGCUUUUAUGUCGCUGAAAUUAAUACCACUGUCCCAGCGCCUCUCUUCCUCGACAAAAAUCAUCAGCAUCAUCAACAUUGGGCUUUUAAAUAACACUGUAGACAACUUUCAUGCCAUCUCAUCAUCUAUUUUUCUCAACAUCAACUAUUGUCGUCAUCAACAUCAACCAGUGGAAACAUCUCUAUACCAUCCGAAGCAUCUAUCUUUCUCAACAUCAACAUCGGGCCUUAACAUCACUGGACAAAUAUUAAACUAUCCAACAUCUGCCUUCUUCAACAUCACUAUCAUCAACAUCAUUAGAAUCAACAUCAAAUACUACAACUCUUCCACCACCCUAUCAUCUACAUCAUUCUCAACAUUAACCAUCAUCAUCAUCCUCAUUUACAGUAACAUCACUCAAGACAACUUUCACACCCUCUCAACAUCUUCCAUUCUCAUCAUGUCAUCUUCUUCAUCUCCAGUAACCUUCCCAAUACGAGACUCAACCAAAACAACCCAAGACAACACUCCACAGCACAAACCCAAUAUCAACAUUUCUUAAAAUUUGCCAUCUUCUCUUCAUCUCCAGUAACAUUCCCAUACGAGACUCAACCAAGACAAACCCAAAACAACCCAAGACAAACACACUUCACAGCACUAACCCAAAUGUCAUCCCUUAAAAUUUGCCAUGUUUGUCUGUUAAAAAUAUGCCAAAAAAAUCACCAAAAUCCAACAUCUAUCUAUCUUAACACAUCAUUUUUUGUCUCCUCAAUACAGCAGAAAAAAAAAUGCAAAACUUCCCAUUGCAUGACAACCCAAACACGAUCUAUCUUAACAUCUCUCAUCUCCAUCUCUCUUAUCUAUAGGAAAAAUAUAGCUAAAACUCCCCCUUGUGACAACCCAGCAUCAGUCUCUCUCUCUUAACUGCAUAUACCAAUACAGCAGCAAAAACAGGAACCUCGGUCUUUCUAAACUAACACUUGCCAUCCUCGUCUCUUAGAAUAACAGCAAAACCCAGCCGAAAAUUUUCCUUCCACAGCAAAAAUCCAGCAUCAAAUUUUUUAAAGACCGCAAACAAAUAAGACUUCCUCCCAUGUUCACCUUCUUUCUGAUAUCAAAGCACAAACAGUUAGGCAUCAACACAGCAAUGCCGCAAUGCCUACAAACAAACAAACAGCUGGUAAUCUUUUCCCGCACCAAGAACAAACGCCCAGAACAAACAAUGCCACAAACCACCCUCAAGCGACUCGGCGAUGCAAACAAACAGGCCAGCAACACACCAUUCACCUCACACCGUCGAACAAACAAACACGAGCACUUCCAAACACCGCCUUGGCACAAACAAUCCGUCCAAACAGCAACAAACAAGCAAACGAACAAACAGCAGAUCUAACAAGUCAAAGAAGAAAAUGAGAUAGUAUAUGUUAAAAGUUGAUUCGGUAACAAUGUUUUUUUUGUUUUUUUCUCUUGGUUACGUAUUAUUUUUUUUGCAUAAAGUGUCACCCUUAAAUUCCCUUCCUCCUCCUCCUCCUCCUCCUCCCUUCCCUGACCCAGCUGUUUUCAUUCUCGUCGUAUUUAUUGACUUUAUUAAUGUAUGUAUAAAAAUCAUGGCGUUUAUAAUAUUGGUUGUUGUUGUUGUUUUUGUCGAGCGCAAAUUCUAGCGCUUAUAAUAUCUUGUUGUUGAGAGCUAAUUGAAUCUUCAUGAGAAUUUUGGUGCUUUAAAAAUUUACAAGUCCUGAUUAUUUAUUAUUAUCAUUAAGGUCAAGAUAAGGUCAUGUUCAGGGUCAGAGGUCAGGUCAGGUCAGGAGUGCCUUGGGGUGGAGUAACAUAUCACAAACCCUCAAAAUACUUCCCCUUUUUCUUCCUUUCUCCUGCACAUCAAUGAUACUCCUUGGCUUCAGUUUGGAACGCUUCCCUUACGUCUUCAAAAAUAAACCCCAUAUAAUAAAACUGCCUUCAGAAUACUUCCCUCGCGUCUUCAAAAAUAAACCCCAAAUAAUAAAACUCCUUGCCUUCAGAAUACUCCCCUCACGUCUUCAAAAAUAAACCCCAAAUAAUAAAACUCCUUGCCUUCAGAAUACUUCCCUCACGUCUUCAAAAGUAAACCCCAAAUAAUAAAACUCCUUGCCUUCAGAAUACUUCCCUCACGUCUUCAAAAGUAAACCCCAAAUAAUAAAACUCCUUGCCUUCAGAAUACUCCCCUCGCCUUCAGAACACUCCCCUCACGUCUUCAAAAAUAAACCCCGAACUAUAACACUCCUCACUUCAGAACAUUCCCUUUACAGCUUCAAAAAUAAAUGUGUCGUAUCCGUAACUUUUGCCUUUGUCUAAAAAUAGUCUUUAUUUAACAGAGAUUACCCGCAAUGCAUUAGUUUUUCCCUUACAUGUAAUAUUUGAAAGGCAUUACCAGAAAUAUUACCCUGAAUCCAUUAUAUUUUCCUUAACUUGUCAGAUCCCACGAGAAUAAGUUUACUCAAUUACGUUUUCUUUUCCUUGUAGUUGGACCCCAUAAAACAAACUUGAAUCCUCUAUAUUUUUCUUUAACUUGCAGUCAGAUCCCUUUUACAGUAAUUUCACGGCAUUAGAUUCUCUUUCCCUUGCAGUUGGACCACGUAAAACAAACUUGAAUCCUCUAUAUUUUUCUUUAACUUGCAGUCAGAUCCCAUUUACAGUAAUUUCACUGCAUUACAUUCUCUUUCCCUUGCAGUUGGACCCCAUAAAACUAACUUGAAUCUAUUAUCUUUGUCUUUAACUUGGUGUCAGAUCCCAGACAAAUAACUUCAAUCCAUUAUAUUCUUCUUUAAACUUCCUUAACUAGAUUAUAAGUUACUUGCAGCUGGACCCCAUAAAACGAAUUUGAAUCCACUAUCUUUUUCUUUAACUUGGUGUCAGAUCCCAUUCAAAUAGCUGCAAUCCAUUAUAUUCUUCUUUAACUUCUUCAAAUAGAUUUACAUUUCCCUCCCUGACUGAAAGCUGCGGAAAUUUCUCACUAUAGCAUACCCUGAAUUCGUAAUCUAUUCUGGUCUACAACAAGCUUCCUGCAGUGUUUAAAAGAGUACCCCUUGGACCACUUGCUCAUCCCUGAACCCUUAUCUAUAUCUGCUCAUCAAGGGACUGUUUUGAUCAAUAUCAAUUUAUAUUUUCCCUCGAUACCCUUUCAAGGAUUUCAAUAGUAACGAUAAUAAUAAUAAUAAUAAUAAUAAUAGUAGUAGUAGUAAUAUCCGUGUAUAGAGAGAGAGUGUCUUGUGAAGGUCUGAGUCGAUCAAUCCCCGAGUCUGGAGUUUAUGACUUAAAUGACAUACAGAAAGAUUGAUAGGUUUUCCAUUAUAUAAAGAUACCAUUAAUAUAGACCUCAAAGUAUCAUCAUAAUCCUCCGUAGAAGUAAAGAUAAUUGUAUGUACGUAGUUUCUGAAAAGUUCCUGCACGUAAAAUCAUCAAUAAUAAAUUCAAUAGAUACAGAAAGACUGAUAAGUUUUCCAUUAUAUAAAGAUACCAUUAAUAUAGACCUCAAAGUAUCAUCAUAAUCCUCCGUAGAAGAUAAAUGUAUAUACGUAGUUUCUGAAAAGUGUCAACGUAAAAAUAUCUAUAAUUAAUUCUCUAUAUAAACGCUUCUAAAAACAAUGAUUCACGAUAGAUCCCAAAAUAACAUAUAUAUCGCUAUGAUGGUUACACUAUAUAUAGAUAACUGUAGGGAGGUUCUGGGUGACAAACAUCUAUGGUAAAAAGAUAUAUAAUGAAUCGUCUAUAUAAACAUUCUUUGACGUAAAAAAGGUAUCUAUCGGUCCCGAAAGAAUAUAUAUGAAUCCCUAUGAAUAAGACACUGUAUAAAGAUAUCUGUGCCACAUUACAAUUAAGUUAUAUAAAGAAGAAAAGAAUAGAGAAGAAGAAAACACAAAGAAACAGAAAAUGAAGGAGGAGGAGGAGGAGGAGAAAACGAAAUUUGAUGAUGAUGAAAGAGAAACGAAAAACAAACAAAAAUUAAUCUAAAGUAAAAGAUUGAUGGAGCUUUCUUAAGAGUGGAUGUGAAGGGCAAAGCAAUAUUAAGUCUACAAGGAUGUGGAAGAGGUUAUAAUAAGGAGGUUCCAAUGAUAAAAAAAACAAUUCCCAGGGCACAACAAAAAUCGCUAUCGGCAUAUCAACCACCCAGCUGCCUACCCUGUUAUCCACCCCAAUUGAUCAUCCCUAUUAACUACCCCAAUUAGCCCCCGUACAGAAUAUUGAAGGCCCUAAAUUAGUCCCUAUACGCUAGAGAGAAUCAGUAACAUCCCUAAAUUAGUCCCUAUACGCUAGAGAGAAUCAGUAACAUCCCUAAUUUAGUCCCUAUACGCUAGAGAGAAUCAUUAAUGUCCCUAAUUUAGUCCCUAUACGCUAGAGAGAAUCGCUAAUGUCCCUAAUUUAGUCCCUAUACGCUAGAGAGAAUCGCUGACGUCCCUAUGUUAAUGACCCCCUAAAUAAUUAUCACAAGUAAGGUGCAAAUGAAAAGGUUCCUAUUAGUGGUAAAUGAAUGACUCUGCUGUGGUUCCUUUAGUCAUGCUCCUUUACCCCCGUCCACACGAUCAUCAGUGCCGUGUGAUCGCAUGGACGCGGACUCGGUUAUUCUUACAAACUUUGGGUCCCUGAUAAAAUUAAAUAACUUGUUCCCUGUCAACCCUAAAUGACUCCUUUAAGUAUUACCCUAAAGCAAAAGAUCCUGACCCUAAAUGAAUGAAUGGUAUUACUCCUUUAGGUAUGUCUUUCAAGGCCUGUUACCCUAAAUGAACGACUCCUUGAAGUAUUACCCUAAAGCAAAAGAUCCUGACCCCAAGUGAAUGACUGGUAUUACUCCCUUAGGUAUGUCUCUCAAGGCCCGUUACCCUAAAUGAAUGACUGGUAUUACUCCUUUAGGUAUUGUCUUUCAAAGCCCAAUACCCUAGAUUAUUGGGGCGUUAUAUCUUGGCGCCACAACUGCUGGGUCAUAUGGCGCCCCGUUACCCUAAAUGAAUUACCUUUUUACUCCUUUGCUUUAACUUUUCAUUCCUCAAAGUCCCUUAAAUCUAGCUCUUAACUGAUCUUAAUAAACGAAGGAGAUUAAUCUGAACUGAUCCCUUAAAUGAAUGACUUUUCUACUCCUUUGCUUUCUUCUUCAUUCCUCAGUCCCUUAAAUUUAGCUCUUAACUGAUCUUAAUAAAUGAAGGAGAUUAAUCUGAAGUGAUCCCUUAAAUG